UAACUGCCUAAAAUCGCUUAGGUC
rnacentral:siRNA from 1 species